AGUGAACGCUGGCGGUAGGCCUAACACAUGCAAGUCGAACGGCAGCACAGUAAGAGCUUGCUCUUACGGGUGGCGAGUGGCGGACGGGUGAGGAAUACAUCGGAAUCUACUUUUUCGUGGGGGAUAACGUAGGGAAACUUACGCUAAUACCGCAUACGACCUACGGGUGAAAGCAGGGGAUCUUCGGACCUUGCGCGAUUGAAUGAGCCGAUGUCGGAUUAGCUAGUUGGCGGGGUAAAGGCCCACCAAGGCGACGAUCCGUAGCUGGUCUGAGAGGAUGAUCAGCCACACUGGAACUGAGACACGGUCCAGACUCCUACAGGAGGCAGCAGUGGGGAAUAUUGGACAAUGGGCGCAAGCCUGAUCCAGCCAUACCGCGUGGGUGAAGAAGGCCUUCGGGUUGUAAAGCCCUUUUGUUGGGAAAGCAAAGCAGCAGGUUAAUACCCCGCUGUUCUGACGGUACCCAAAGAAUAAGCACCGGCUAACUUCGUG
rnacentral:rRNA from 1 species